CGGACGGGUGAGUAAUGUCUGGGAAACUGCCUGAUGGGGGGGGAUAACUACUGGAAACGGUAGCUAAUACCGCAUAACGUCGCAAGACCAAAGAGGGGGACCUUCGGGCCUCUUGCCAUCAGAUGUGCCCAGAUGGGAUUAGCUAGUAGGUGGGGUAACGGCUCACCUAGGCGACAAUCCCUAGCUGGUCUGAGAGGAUGACCAGCCACACUGGAACUGAGACACGGUCCAGACUCCUACGGGAGGCAGCAUG
rnacentral:rRNA from 1 species